rnacentral:rRNA from 1 species
GUGAAAUUCCGUCGGAAUCUGGGAGGACCAUCUCCUAAGGCUAAAUACUCUCUAGUGACCGAUAGUGAACCAGUACCGUGAGGGAAAGGUGAAAAGCACCCCGGAAGGGGAGUGAAAUAGAACCUGAAACCGUGUGCUUACAAGUAGUCAGAGCCCGUUAAUGGGUGAUGGCGUGCCUUUUGUAGAAUGAACCGGCGAGUUACGAUUUGAUGCAAGGUUAAGCAGUAAAUGUGGAGCCGUAGCGAAAGCGAGUCUGAAUAGGGCGUUUAGUAUUUGGUCGUAGACCCGAAACCAGGUGAUCUACCCUUGGUCAGGUUGAAGUUCAGGUAACACUGAAUGGAGGACCGAACCGACUUACGUUGAAAAGUGAGCGGAUGAACUGAGGGUAGCGGAGAAAUUCCAAUCGAACCUGGAGAUAGCUGGUUCUCUCCGAAAUAGCUUUAGGGCUAGCCUCAAGUGAUGAUUAUUGGAGGUAGAGCACUGUUUGGACGAGGGGCCCCUCUCGGGUUACCGAAUUCAGACAAACUCCGAAUGCCAAUUAAUUUAACUUGGGAGUCAGAACAUGGGUGAUAAGGUCCGUGUUCGAAAGGGAAACAGCCCAGACCACCAGCUAAGGUCCCAAAAUAUAUGUUAAGUGGAAAAGGAUGUGGCGUUGCCCAGACAACUAGGAUGUUGGCUUAGAAGCAGCCAUCAUUUAAAGAGUGCGUAAUAGCUCACUAGUCGAGUGACACUGCGCCGAAAAUGUACCGGGGCUAAACAUAUUACCGAAGCUGUGGAUUGUCCUUUGGACAAUGGUAGGAGAGCGUUCUAAGGGCGUUGAAGCAUGAUCGUAAGGACAUGUGGAGCGCUUAGAAGUGAGAAUGCCGGUGUGAGUAGCGAAAGACGGGUGAGAAUCCCGUCCACCGAUUGACUAAGGUUUCCAGAGGAAGGCUCGUCCGCUCUGGGUUAGUCGGGUCCUAAGCUGAGGCCGACAGGCGUAGGCGAUGGAUAACAGGUUGAUAUUCCUGUACCACCUAUAAUCGUUUUAAUCGAUGGGGGGACGCAGUAGGAUAGGCGAAGCGUGCGAUUGGAUUGCACGUCUAAGCAGUAAGGCUGAGUAUUAGGCAAAUCCGGUACUCGUUAAGGCUGAGCUGUGAUGGGGAGAAGACAUUGUGUCUUCGAGUCGUUGAUUUCACACUGCCGAGAAAAGCCUCUAGAUAGAAAAUAGGUGCCCGUACCGCAAACCGACACAGGUAGUCAAGAUGAGAAUUCUAAGGUGAGCGAGCGAACUCUCGUUAAGGAACUCGGCAAAAUGACCCCGUAACUUCGGGAGAAGGGGUGCUCUUUAGGGUUAACGCCCAGAAGAGCCGCAGUGAAUAGGCCCAAGCGACUGUUUAUCAAAAACACAGGUCUCUGCUAAACCGUAAGGUGAUGUAUAGGGGCUGACGCCUGCCCGGUGCUGGAAGGUUAAGAGGAGUGGUUAGCUUCUGCGAAGCUACGAAUCGAAGCCCCAGUAAACGGCGGCCGUAACUAUAACGGUCCUAAGGUAGCGAAAUUCCUUGUCGGGUAAGUUCCGACCCGCACGAAAGGCGUAACGAUUUGGGCACUGUCUCAACGAGAGACUCGGUGAAAUCAUAGUACCUGUGAAGAUGCAGGUUACCCGCGACAGGACGGAAAGACCCCGUGGAGCUUUACUGUAGCCUGAUAUUGAAAUUCGGCACAGCUUGUACAGGAUAGGUA